AGAGUUUGAUCCUGGCUCAGGAUGAACGCUGGCGGCGUGCCUAAUACAUGCAAGUCGAGCGAACCACUUCGGUGGUGAGCGGCGAACGGGUGAGUAACACGUAGGUGAUCUGCCCAUCAGACGGGGACAACGAUUGGAAACGAUCGCUAAUACCGGAUAGGACGAAAGUUUAAAGGUGCUUCUGGCACCGCUGAUGGAUGAGCCUGCGGCGCAUUAGCUAGUUGGUAGGCUAAAGGCCUACCAAGGCGACGAUGCGUAGCCGACCUGAGAGGGUGAACGGCCACACUGGGACUGAGACACGGCCCAGACUCCUACGGGAGGCAGCAGUAGGGAAUCUUCGGCAAUGGGCGAAAGCCUGACCGAGCAACGCCGCGUGAAUGAUGAAGGCCUUCGGGUUGUAAAAUUCUGUUAUAAGGGAAGAACGACUUUAGCAGGAAAUGGCUAGAGUGUGACGGUACCUUAUGAGAAAGCCACGGCUAACUACGUGCCAGCAGCCGCGGUAAUACGUAGGUGGCGAGCGUUAUCCGGAAUUAUUGGGCGUAAAGAGCGCGCAGGUGGUUGAUUAAGUCUGAUGUGAAAGCCUACGGCUUAACCGUGGAGGGUCAUUGGAAACUGGUCGACUUGAGUGCAGAAGAGGGAAGUGGAAUUCCAUGUGUAGCGGUGAAAUGCGUAGAGAUAUGGAGGAACACCAGUGGCGAAGGCGGCUUCCUGGUCUGUAACUGACACUGAGGCGCGAAAGCGUGGGGAGCAAACGGGAUUAGAUACCCUGGUAGUCCACGCCGUAAACGAUGAGUGCUAAGUGUUGGGGGUCGAACCUCAGUGCUGAAGUUAACGCAUUAAGCACUCCGCCUGGGGAGUACGGUCGCAAGACUGAAACUCAAAGGAAUUGACGG
rnacentral:rRNA from 1 species